GGGUCAGUAGGUUGGUCGUGCCACCGGUACGUACUGGUCUCACUGGUUCCUCCUUCCUGAAGAACCGUAAUGCCAUUAAUUUGGUGUUGCGGGGAAACAGGACUGUUACUUUGAAAAAAUUAGAGUGUUUAAAGCAAGCUAACGCUUGAAUACAUUAGCAUGGAAUAAUGAAAUAGGACGAUCGAUCCUAUUUUGUUGGUUUCCAGGAUUGACGUA
rnacentral:rRNA from 1 species